UGGCAAUGAGUUCUUCUACUAUCCGAAAAUGUCUUUAUUUGAUCUUAACGUUUGAGGACGAUUUUUGUCUUGGUGGAGAAUUCUGGAUUGUCAGGGGUUAUUUUGUCUUUCAGCCCUUCGCAGAUGCCUGGUCUCUGAUGUUUUAGUGAAGACGUUUGUGAUUACUAACAUCAGCGGUCACCUGUUAGUAUGUGUGCAGGCAACCCCCAAAAGAGACCACGUCUGUCACUAUCAUGUGACCCGAGAUAUGAAGGAUGUGAGGUCUGCAGGAAUCCUUAUCUUGCAUGGAACGCUGUACCCAGGACGCUAACCCCCAAGCGAUGCUUGUUUUCACCUCGUGGAUAAGGACUCUGAAAUUCAGAGCGAAUAAAUGAGGAUGAAUUCUACACUUGAUCUUAGCCAAAAGACCGAGCAGCGAUCAGGGUAAAUUCUGUAACUGAAGAGCCUUCAUGAGCCCCUCCACGAUGUAAUUGUAAUGGUGAUGAUCUGGCAUGAUGCUCCAGCUCUAUCUGAACAAAGUGGCUCCUUUCACUUCAGCAACCCAAGAUUGUGGAAGGUACUCAACGGGACACUGAAACUUUUCAAGAUGUGAUGGUGAUUUCUCUUAUUGUUCAUUUGCACGUUGAAGUCUUGUUAUUUUCCCUGUUCUGAUUCCAAGCAUGGUCCUUCACCAUUAUCUUCAAAUGUUAGUUGCUUAUACAGAGAUUUUCCCAGGGAUCUUAGGGCUGACAAUUUCUUUGUAUGAGCAAUUGAUUAUUCACUGUGUUUGAAUGACAAUGGAGACAUUAAGAAAAAAAAAACCCUAAUAUAUAUUGAAUGUCAAUGCCAUGAAAAACCCUUUGGUUUUUUAUAAGCAUUGUCUUGGUCAGUUAUCAAAAAUCUCACAAAAUACUGAUGAGGUAGGUAUUAUUUCAAUUUUAAAAUUGAGGAAAUUGUGCCUCGGUGAUAUUAAGGGGACUUGACCAAACUCAAGAAUAACAUAGGCAGCAGUAUCUAUUUAUUUAUUUAUUUAUUUAUUUAUUUAUUUGUUUGUUUGUUUUUAAUGUUUAUUUUAUUUUUGAGAGAGAGAAAGAUAAGAGAGAGAGAGACAGAGAGACAGAGUGCGAGUGUAGAAGGGCAGAGAGAGAAAGAGAGGGAGACACAGAAUCCAAAGCAGGCUCCAGGCUUUGAGCUGUCAGCACAGAGCCUGACAUGGGUCUCGAACUUAUGAACCCUGGGAUCCUGACCUGAGCUGAAGUCAGAAGCUUAACCGACUGAGCCACCCAGGUGCCCCAAGCAGCAGUUUUUAUUUGAAUUGAAGUCUGAGUUCAGAGUCUGUGCUGUUUUUGCUACUUCAACCUACGUGCAGGAGAAUCAAGAACCUAGACCCACUUCUCUGGCCCUGGCGGUGAAUACAAGCAAAGAUGGUGUAUUAGUCAUCUACUGCUGAGUAACAAAUUACUCCAAUUCUUAGCAGCUUAAAAUAGAAGUAAAUAUUGAUUACCUCACAUGGGUUUUGUGGAUCAGAAAUUAGGGAGCAGCUGUGUUAAAAAAUACCCAGGGGAUUUUAAUUUAUGGAGAUGAUGGAGUGACAAUAUGGAGAGGUUAAUGCUAUUGAAAGAAUGAAUAAUGUAUUACUUACAUUUCUUCAGAGAAAGGAGGUAUGCCACACCAUGCAGGGUUGCAUGGGGAAGCACAGAUUCAGGCAGAAGGCAGAAAAGAGAAAAGGAGAAAGCAAACCCUUUCUUUCUGCAGGAAACACAAGGAGGACAGAGGAUACAGCUUAGAAUUGGCUACCAGAAUAAUAUCAGUGGGCUCUGGGCUAUAGGGGUGGUCUUUAGUUGCCCUGGAUUGAUUUAAGGCAAAGAAAUACUGGCUUGGCAUAUAAGAGUUACACAAAGGAGGUGGCGAGUGGUAUAGACUCAGGAUGGGUCAGUUGCAUAUGCAAUGAGUUUGUGAUGACACGCGAGUUGUUUGUUAUCUCUAGAAAUUAGCUAGCUCUGAGAGAAAUAGUCUCUCCCCAGCAAGCUAGGCCCCUCAAGAUGUCAAAGGAGCACAAAAUAUUUUAAAAACAUGAUUCAUGAACAGCCUAGCUGGGUGGUUCUAGCUUUGGGCCUCUCGUGAGGUUCCACUUAAUCUGUCAGCCAGAGUUUCAGUCUUGAGUGCUCGACUGGUGUUGGAGGAUGUGCUUCCAAGAUGGUUUGUUCACAUGAUGUCAGUUAUUGGUGGGAGGCCUCAGUUUCCUUCUGUCUUUGUUUUCUAGUGCUCUGUAACAAAUCGCCUCAAAUUUAAUGGCUUAAAUCAACACAAAUGUAUUCUGUCACAGUUUCCAUGAGUAAAGAGGCAGGGUACAAGUUAAAUGGGGUCUUCCGUUCAGGUUCUUUUCUGAGCCUGAAAUUGAGAUGUUAGCCGGGCUAACUGGUUCUCACCUUGAGCUCAGAGUCCUUCUCCAAGCUCAUACAGGUUGUUUGCCAGUUCCAGCUGCUGGUGGCUAUAGGGAUGAAGUUCCUUCAUUCAUCUUCUCCCUGGAUGUUGGCCAGCAUCUCCCAGAGCUCCUAGAGUCUGUCCUCAGGUCCUAGCCCCAUGGCCUUUGCAUAGUAUGGCAAAUAACUUCUUCUAAGGUGCUGGGAGAAUCUCUCCAGUCUGCUAUGACGGUCCUAAAUAACCUAAUCAUGGGAGUGACUGUCCGCCUACCUAUUCUGUAUAGCAUAUUUAAUUUUUUUAAUGUUGAUAUAUAGUUUGAGAGAGAGACAGAGUGUGAGCAGGGGAGGGACAGAGAAGGAGGGAGACACAGAAUCUGAAGCAGGCUCCAGGCUCUGAGCUAUCAGCACAGAGCCCGACGCGGGGCUUGAACCCACAGACCGUGAGAUCAUGACCUGAGCUGAAGUCGGAUGCUUAACCAACUAAGCCACCCAGGAGCCCCAAUAUAAAGUCAUAUUCUUAUGUCCUGUCCACACUCAAGGCGGGGGCAUUACAGGAUGUGUAUACCAGCAGGUGGGAAGCUUGGGGACCAUCUUAGAAUGCUGCCUGCCACACUCUACUGGCUUUCCAUGGAUACCGACAUAGCAGUUGAUUUCUCCCAGAGAAAGCAAUCCAAAAGCAAGCAAGGAGCAAACUGCAAUGCCAUUUAUGACCUAGUCUUGCAAGCCAUGUGCUAUUAUUUUGGUUACAUUCUGUCCUUUCCUUUUUUUUUAAGUUUAUUUAUUUUUGAUAGACAGAGAUAGGGAGAGAGAGAAAGAGUGGGGGAAGGGUAAAGAGAGAGGGAGAGAGAGAAUCCCAAGAAGGCUCCACACUAUCAGUGCAGAGCCCAAUGCGGGGCUCAAACUCAUGAAUCAUGGGAUCAUGACCUGAGCUGAAAUCAAGAGUUGGAUGCUCAACCAAUAAGCUACCUGGGCACCCCUACAUUCUGUUCUUCAGAGGUAAGUCUCCGAUUCUGUCUUUCUCUCAAGGACAGAGUAAUUAGACUCUAUCUUUUGAGGGAAGCUUAUAAAAAAUUAAGGAUAUAUUUUAAAACCACCACAGAUGGCAUUAAAAAAUUGUCUCAUCAUCUGCAAGAAGAAGGGUUUGAACCAGUUGGUUACAAAGAUUUUUGAAGUAUAUGUGCAUACAUGUUUACAUACUUGUGUUUAAAGUAGCUUCAGUUUUGUGCCUCCAGAGGGGUAUCCACUGGCAAGGGGUGUGGUAACUCUAAGGAAAGAUAUCUUCAUUUUGAAAUCAAUUGGUCUUGACUUUAUACUAAUGCAUUUUCCUUCAAAGUGAAGAUUUUAUCUCAUUUCUGUAACUUAAUUAACAGAAAAAAAAAGAAGCCAUAUUAAUGGUUUAAAUGUGUGCAUGUUGGGAAGGGGAAUGGUCACAAUGUACUUUGCUACAUUUCAAACUGUCACAUUGUUCUUCCUUUCUUUGCAGGAAGAUUUUUUUAUAAAUCACUUGUCCUUCUGAAAUGAUGGGUAGUUGUAACUUUGUCUGUCUUUGAGAAAGAAAAGAGGAAACAUGGAGAAAAACCAGUGUUUAGUCAUCCUGACUGCCCCGACAUUCAGGGAAAUAGAAAAAUCCAAAUCCAGUGUUCCCAUCAGAAAAUUUCUGUGGUUUAUGGCACGUAUUUCAGACCCAUUACCUCAUGGAUUUAGUGGAUCAUGGAUUACCCAGCAUAUAUUUCAGGAGCAUUACCUCAUGAAGGAAACAUCUUUAUUAUAAGACAGCCAUGUUUCUGAAACAUAACCUUGCCACGUGGUGGUUACAUGUGGCUGUCUAAGAAUAUACAUUAAUAAAAAGCCUUGAUCACUAAGAUACCUGAUAUUAGACAAAAUAGUUCCUUCUGGUGGGCCAAGUGAGCUAACAGUAUUUCCCUCUGACAUUUUGGGAAUUAAAUGCUGCUAUGCAAUAAAAGAGUAUAUUUUCCAGGGGGGAAAUAUUCCUUUAGAGAAAGCUACAACCACUUUUCUUCUUUGUAGAGGUAUCUAAAGUAGCAAGAAGCCAAAAAUCUGAGAGCAUGGUCUUCUCAAGCGUAUCCAACUGUUAUUUUAUUUUAGCAUUGCUUAUUAAAAGCUAGUUUAAGUUGUCAAGGAUUUCUAGGUCUUUACGAAAUUAAAGGGUGGGAAUCCCGGCACUCUUCUAGGUACCACCAUCUCAGGGAUCCUAAAAAGCCAUAACGGUGCAAAAAUAUCACAAGAAACAUAAUGGGCUGAAGAAGAAGGUUGGAUAAAACAUUCUGAAAAUUUCCCUUAAGGCGGGAGUAGAAAAGCCAUCAUCAUGUAGUAAUGCCUACUUAAUUUGUAGACAAUUUACUGUUUGCCCAAAACUGCACAAAGCACUGUAUCUACACUAUCAUAAUCCUUGUUAUCUUAUAAAGAAACUGCUCUUGCUGUAUGCAAAUGAAGAAAAAGAGAAGAAACUCAAAUCAGGAGAAGUCAGGUAAUUUGCUCAGCUUUGCUUGAUGCAGAAGUGGCAGAAUUAAGGUCCUAUUCAAGGAAGGCGGACUCCAAAACGUAUACUUCUUACAGCUGGUGUUAAUAACGUCACAUAACGGGACCACUGCUAAGGAGUGUUUAGUCCAGGGACUUCUAAACUUCUAAGUAAAAUAUCUAAGCUGUGACCCAGCCACCAUUAGAACUAGGCUUUGCUCUUCUCGGAUGUAACACUUAGCCUGGCUCCUAAAGAAAUUAAAACAAUAAAGAGUAUCUGUUUGGAACUAUAUUGUAUUCAUCAGCCUUCUUCCUGCAAAAAAAAAAAAUACAUAAUAAACAACUCUCCAAAUCUU